rnacentral:rRNA from 1 species
UACCAGCACCCCGAGUGGUUGGGACGAUUAUUGGGCCUAAAGCAUCCGUAGCCGGUCCUACAAGUCUUCCGUUAAAUCCACCUGCUUAACAGAUGGGCUGCGGAAGAUACUAUAGGGCUAGGAGGCGGGAGAGGCAAGCGGUACUCAGUGGGUAGGGGUAAAAUCCUCUGAUCCAUUGAAGACCACCAGUGGCGAAGGCGGCUUGCCAGAACGCACUCGACGGUGAGGGAUGAAAGCUGGGGGAGCAAACCGG